rnacentral:rRNA from 1 species
ACCUACGGGGCGCAGCAGUAGGGAAUCUUCCACAAUGGACGAAAGUCUGAUGGAGCAACGCCGCGUGAGUGAAGAAGGGUUUCGGCUCGUAAAGCUCUGUUGGUAGUGAAGAAAGAUAGAGGUAGUAACUGGCCUUUAUUUGACGGUAAUUACUUAGAAAGUCACGGCUAACUACGUGCCAGCAGCCGCGGUAAUACGUAGGUGGCAAGCGUUGUCCGGAUUUAUUGGGCGUAAAGCGAGUGCAGGCGGUUCCAUAAAUCUGAUUGGUAAGCCUUCAG